rnacentral:tRNA from 1 species
GGGAAUGUGGCUCAGUGGUAGAGUGCUUGCCUAGCAUGCAUGAAGUCCUAGGUUCGAUUCCUCAGUACCA